rnacentral:rRNA from 1 species
CCUGGUUGAUCCUGCCAGUAGUCAUAUGCUUGUCUCAAAGAUUAAGCCAUGCAUGUCUAAGUGCAUGCCAAAUUAAGGUGAAACCGCGAAUGGCUCAUUAAAUCAGUUAUGGUUCCUUAGAUCGUACCCACAUUUACUUGGAUAACUGUGGUAAUUCUAGAGCUAAUACAUGCAAACCAGAGUUCCGACCAGAGAUGGAAGGAACGCUUUUAUUAGAUCAAAACCAAUCGGUGGCGGGCUUUGCUCGUCCACCGUUUACUUUGGUGACUCUGAAUAACUUUGUGCUGAUCGCACGGUCUCGUACCGGCGACGCAUCUUUCAAAUGUCUGCCUUAUCAACUGUCGAUGGUAGGUUCUGCGCCUACCAUGGUUGUAACGGGUAACGGGGAAUCAGGGUUCGAUUCCGGAGAGGGAGCCUGAGAAACGGCUACCACAUCCAAGGAAGGCAGCAGGCGCGCAAAUUACCCACUCCCGGCACGGGGAGGUAGUGACGAAAAAUAACGAUACGGGACUCAUCCGAGGCCCCGUAAUCGGAAUGAGUACACUUUAAAUCCUUUAACGAGGAUCAAUUGGAGGGCAAGUCUGGUGCCAGCAGCCGCGGUAAUUCCAGCUCCAAUAGCGUAUAUUAAAGUUGUUGCGGUUAAAAAGCUCGUAGUUGAAUCUGUGUCGCACGCUGUCGGUUCGCCGCUCGCGGUGUUUAACUGACAUGCUCGUGAGACGUCCUACCGGUGGGCUUAGCUCCUUCGGGGGCGGUCCAACUAAUAUCCCAUCGCGGUGCUCUUUAUUGAGUGUCGAGGUGGGCCGGUACGUUUACUUUGAACAAAUUAGAGUGCUUAAAGCAAGCUAUCAUUUGCCUGAAUAUUCUGUGCAUGGAAUAAUGGAAUAGGACCUCGGUUCUAUUUUGUUGGUUUUAAGAAACCCGAGGUAAUGAUUAAUAGGGACAGAUGGGGGCAUUCGUAUUGCGACGUUAGAGGGGAAAUUCUUGGAUCGUCGCAAGACGGACAGAAGCGAAAGCAUUUGCCAAAAAUGUUUUCAUUAAUCAAGA